rnacentral:tRNA from 1 species
CCGGGUGUAGUGCAGUGGCAGUCACGCCGCCUUGUCAGGGCGGAGGACGCCGGUUCGAAUCCGGCCGCCCGGG